AUUGAACGCUGGCGGCAUGCCUUACACAUGCAAGUCGAACGGUAACAGGUCUUCGGAUGCUGACGAGUGGCGAACGGGUGAGUAAUACAUCGGAACGUGCCUAGUAGUGGGGGAUAACUACUCGAAAGAGUGGCUAAUACCGCAUGAGAUCUACGGAUGAAAGCAGGGGAUCGCAAGACCUUGUGCUACUAGAGCGGCCGAUGGCAGAUUAGGUAGUUGGUGGGAUGAAAGCUUACCAAGCCGACGAUCUGUAGCUGGUCUGAGAGGACGAUCGGCCAAAUUGGGACUAAGAAACGGCCAGGACGCUUACGGGAGGCAACAGUGGGGAAUUUUGUACAAUGGGCGCAAGCCUGAUCCAGCAAUGCCGCGUGCAGGAUGAAGGCCUUCGGGUUGUAAACUGCUUUUGUACGGAACGAAAAGCCCCGGGUUAAUACCCUGGGGUCAUGACGGUACCGAAAGAAUAAGCACCGGCUAACUACGUGCAAGCCGCCGCCGUAA
rnacentral:rRNA from 1 species